rnacentral:rRNA from 1 species
CCCUUAGAUGUUCUGGGCGGCCCGCGCACUACAAUGGCGCUUUCAGCGAGUUCCUAUGUUGAAUUUUCCUUGGUAUUCUUGGAAGCGGCGUCUUGACUUGGGAUAGAUCCUUGUAAUUGUUGGUUUUGAACGAGGAAUUCCUUGUAAUCGCGGUUGAUCAGCUCGCGUUGAAUACGUCCCUGCCCUUUGUACACACCGCCCGUCGCUCCUACCGAUGAAUCGUCCGGUGAAGUUCACAGAGUGGCGGUUCGUGGAGUUGCUCGAGAAGUGAAAUGGACCUCACGAUUUAGAGGAAGGAGAAGUCGUAACA